AUGGACCAAUCCAUCCCUUUUUCUCGUGCAUAUGCAUCGGACUCCGAUGACGAUGGUCUCGAUGAAGAAGUUGAUGAGGAGGGGUUCACGCCCAAGGAGGCCCAAGCAUUUAAGAAGGUAUUCGGGCGGGAUCACAAGACACCAUUGUUCAAGGAUCUUAGUCUCGCAGAUGAAGCUGUUGUAGAUGGUGGCAAAUGUAUAUCUCUUGGAGCUAGGCCAAGUUCUCAC
rnacentral:rRNA from 1 species